UACGUAGGGCGCAAGCGUUAUCCGGAAUUAUUGGGCGUAAAGGGCUCGUAGGCGGUUUGUCGCGUCUGCUGUGAAAGACCGGGGCUCAACUCCGGUUCUGCAGUGGGUACGGGCAGACUAGAGUGAUGUAGGGGAGACUGGAAUUCCUGGUGUAGCGGUGAAAUGCGCAGAUAUCAGGAGGAACACCGAUGGCGAAGGCAGGUCUCUGGGCAUUAACUGACGCUGAGGAGCGAAAGCAUGGGGAGCGAACAGG
rnacentral:rRNA from 1 species